UUUCCGUAGGUGAACCUGCGGAAGGAUCAUUAAUGGGAAAUCAAAUCAAAUCAAAACAAAUGUUCUGUUGCACUGGGUGUGCUGUGUGGUGGUGGUGUGAGACAUGGAGAUUCAAUCAUUGGAGAUUCAAUCAUUGGAGAUUCAAUCAUUCAAUCUCAAUCAUUGGAGAUUCAAUCAUUCAAUCUCAAUCAUUCAAUCUCAAUCAUUCAAUCUCAAUCAUCGCCACACAACACAACUAUCUAUCACACACGAUCAACAACAACACACUCACACACAACAGCAAACAACUUUUAACAAUGGAUCUCUUGGCUCUU
rnacentral:misc_RNA from 1 species